rnacentral:rRNA from 1 species
UGGUGGAGUGAUUUGUCUGGUUAAUUCCGUUAACGAACGAGACCUUAACCUACUAACUAGUCACGCAAUUCCCGAAUUGCGGGCGACUUCUUAGAGGGACUAUCGACGUUUAGUCGGUGGAAGUUUGAGGCAAUAACA